CCUACGGGUGGCAGCAGUGAGGAAUAUUGGUCAAUGGGCGUAAGCCUGAACCAGCCAAGUCGCGUGAGGGAUGAAGGUUCUAUGGAUCGUAAACCUCUUUUAUAAGGGAAUAAAGUGUGGGACGUGUCCUGUUUUGUAUGUACCUUAUGAAUAAGGAUAGGCUAACUCCGUGCCAGCAGCCGCGGUAAUACGGAGGAUCCGAGCGUUAUCCGGAUUUAUUGGGUUUAAAGGGUGCGUAGGCGGCCUUUUAAGUCAGCGGUGAAAGUCUGUGGCUCAACCAUAGAAUUGCGGUUGAAACUGGGAGGCUUGAGUAUGUUAGAGGCGGGCGGAAUGCGUGGUGUAGCGGUGAAAUGCUGAGAUAUCACGAAGAACCCCGAUUGCGAAGGCAGUUUGCAAGGCCAUGACUGACGCUGAUGCACGAAAGCGUGGGGAUCAAACAGGAUUAGAUACCCUAGUAGUC
rnacentral:rRNA from 1 species